UACGGAGGGAGCUAGCGUUGUUCGGAAUUACUGGGCGUAAAGCGCGCGUAGGCGGCUUUGUAAGUUAGAGGUGAAAGCCCGGGGCUCAACCCCGGAAUUGCCUUUAAGACUGCAUCGCUUGAAUCCGGGAGAGGUGAGUGGAAUUCCGAGUGUAGAGGUGAAAUUCGUAGAUAUUCGGAAGAACACCAGUGGCGAAGCGGCUCACUGGACCGGCAUUGACGCUGAGGUGCGAAAGCGUGGGGAGCAAACAGG
rnacentral:rRNA from 1 species